rnacentral:rRNA from 1 species
GACGAACGCUGGCGGCGUGCUUAACACAUGCAAGUCGAACGAAAAGAGGGAAAGAGCUUGCUCUUUCCGGAAUUGAGUGGCAAACGGGUGAGUAACACGUAAACAACCUGCCUUCAGGAUGGGGACAACAGACGGAAACGACUGCUAAUACCGAAUAAGUUCCAAGGGCCGCAUGGCCCAUGGAAGAAAAGGUGGCCUCUACCUGUAAGCUAUCGCCUGAAGAGGGGUUUGCGUCUGAUUAGCUGGUUGGAGGGGUAACGGCCCACCAAGGCGACGAUCAGUAGCCGGUCUGAGAGGAUGAACGGCCACACUGGAACUGAGACACGGUCCAGACUCCUACGGGAGGCAGCAGUGGGGAAUCUUCCGCAAUGGGCGAAAGCCUGACGGAGCAACGCCGCGUGAGUGAUGACGGCCUUCGGGUUGUAGAACUCUGUGAUCCGGGACGAAAAGGCAGAGUGCGAAGAACAAACUGCAUUGACGGUACCGGAAAAGCAAGCCACGGCUAACUACGUG